AGUGAACGCUGGCGGUAGGCCUAACACAUGCAAGUCGAACGGCAGCACAGUAAGAGCUUGCUCUUACGGGUGGCGAGUGGCGGACGGGGGAGGAAUACAUCGGAAUCUACGGUUUCGUGGGGGAGAACGUAGGGAAACUUACGCUAAUACCGCAUACGACCUACGGGUGAAAGCAGGGGAUCUUCGGACCUUGCGCGAUUGAAGGAGCCGAUGUCGGAUUAGCUAGUUGGCGGGAUAAAGGCCCACCAAGGCGACGAUCCGUAGCUGGUCUGAGAGGAUUAAUAGCCAAACUUGAACUGGAGAACGGUCCCGACUCCCACGGGAGGCAGCAGUUGGGAAUAUUGGACAAUGGGCGGAAGCCUUAACCAGCCAAUCCGCGGUGGUGAAGAAGGUCUUCUGGUUUGAAAGCCCUUUUUGUUGGGAAAAAAAACAGGAAGUUAAUACCCCGCUUUUUUGGCGUGACCAAAAAAAUAAGCACCGGCUAACCUCGUG
rnacentral:rRNA from 1 species